GGGUGUGUAGCUCAGUUGGCUAGAGCGUUACGUUGACAUCGUAGAGGUCGUUGGUUCGAGCCCAAUCACACCCACCA
rnacentral:tRNA from 1 species